AACGAACGCUGGCGGUAUGCUUAACACAUGCAAGUCGAACGAGAAAGUCUCUUCGGAGAUGAUUAAAGUGGCGCACGGGUGAGUAACGCGUAGAUAAUCUACCCUUCAGUCUGGGACAACUUUCCGAAAGGAGAGCUAAUACCGGAUAACACCUUUUUCGAGUGGAAAGAGGUUAAAAGAUUUAUUGCUGAUGGAUGAGUCUGCGUAACAUUAGCUUGUUGGUGAGGUAAAAGCUCACCAGGGCGACGAUGUUUAGCGGGUCUGAGAGGAUGAUCCGCCACACUGGAACUGAGACACGGUCCAG
rnacentral:rRNA from 1 species